AGCCAUCAUCCUUAUCUCUGUCUGCAAAACUUGCAGCAAGGAGAAGAAAUCAGCUGUAGAAAGCUAAGUGUUGGUUAACUUUAACUGGAAAAAAAAGUAGAUUAAAAAAAUUACAAUAUUCUCAAGUGCUCACUACUCAAAAGUUAGUCAUGAAAAAUUAGGAUAUCAAAACCAAAUCAGAAGUCUUAAUGAAAUAAAAAGAGGUGCUCUCAAUUUGAAUUCCAGUGCUAAGCUAUUAAGCAGCACAUUUCCAAGUAUUUUCAACAGCCUUGCGGGUGAUGUGGCAUAUGUAUAUUUUACUGUGCUUUGAUAGUAAUUGUAUUUCUGCAAAAGAGAUUUGUUCUAGGUUAUCUGUUGAGAUUCAGCCAGGUCUUUAGUGGAAAAAACCCUGCCUUUUGUCCACGUUUCACUUCUGCAUCAUCAGCCAGACUGUUUCCAUAUAAAAACCGUGACUGGAAUUUGCAGUCAUAAAUGGAUUGCAUAAAUGAUAGAUGGAGAAGCUCCCAUAACCUGAUGAGCUCAUUAUGGAAUUAGAUCUUUAACUCAAGUGCAAGACUAAUCAUAGAGGAAGAAUGUUCAUGCUGAAGCUGGUUGAAAAGAAUGGCAACUCAAAAAGCUUUAGAAGACAUCAAAAAUCUUUAAAAAUCAAGUUACACAGGAAGCUGAGAGCUGGAAGACACUGCUGGAGGAAAAAUGCCUGUGGUGCACAGGAAUUUGCACAGCUUCAGGCCUGGAUCCUGCAGCAGCUUCCCCUCUCCUCCACUGGGGUGAGACCCUCAGUGCUGGGAGAGCUUUGGUUGUGA
rnacentral:lncRNA from 1 species